GUUGAAACCUUUUUUGGCUUUUUAAUAAAGGAUACUUUAAGAGCAGGAAAUCCCUUGUCAGGCAGAAAGCACUAUAGGCAGACAAUUCUCAUGUCCAACAAGAUUCAUUUUUUCCAUCACUUUACACCCUAGAAAACUGAUACAGACUUCCCCAGUUGAAGUUUAAUACAGAACAUAGGUUUAUGAAGUGUGGAACCUCAUCCCAAGGCUUAAAUGGUCC
rnacentral:lncRNA from 1 species